GUGGGGAAUAUUGGACAAUGGGCGCAAGCCUGAUCCAGCCAUGCCGCGUGAGUGAUGAAGGCCUUAGGGUUGUAAAGCUCUUUCACCGGUGAAGAUAAUGACGGUAACCGGAGAAGAAGCCCCGGCUAACUUCGUGCCAGCAGCCGCGGUAAUACGAAGGGGGCUAGCGUUGUUCGAAAUUACUGGGCGUAAAGCGCACGUAGGCGGAUAUUUAAGUCAGGGGUGAAAUCCCAGAGCUCAACUCUGGAACUGCCUUUGAUACUGGGUAUCUCGAGUAUGGAAGAGGUAAGUGGAAUUCCGAGUGUAGAGGUGAAAUUCGUAGAUAUUCGGAGGAACACCAGUGGCGAAGGCGGCUUACUGGUCCAUUACUGACGCUGAGGUGCGAAAGCGUGGGGAGCAAACAGGAUUAGAUACCCGAGUAGUCC
rnacentral:rRNA from 1 species